UACGUAGGGGGCAAGCGUUAUCCGGAUUUACUGGGUGUAAAGGGAGCGUAGGUGGCAAGUCAAGUCAGAUGUGAAAGCCCGGGGCUCAACUCCGGGAUUGCAUUUGAAACUGGUUUGCUAGAGUGCAGGAGAGGUAAGUGGAAUUCCUAGUGUAGCGGUGAAAUGCGUAGAUAUUAGGAGGAACACCAGUGGCGAAGGCGGCUUACUGGACUGUAACUGACACUGAGGCUCGAAAGCGUGGGGAGCAAACAGGAUUAGAAACCCCCGUAGUCC
rnacentral:rRNA from 1 species